rnacentral:rRNA from 1 species
AUACGGAGGGAGCAAGCGUUAUUCGGAAUCACUGGGCGUAAAGGACGCGUAGGCGGGUUUGUAAGUCAGGUGUGAAAUCCUACAGCUCAACUGUAGAACUGCACUUGAAGCUACAGACCUAGAGUAUGGAAGGGGCAGAUGGAAUUAGUGGUGUAGGGGUAAAAUCCGUAGAUAUCACUAGGAAUACCGAAAGCGAAGGCGAUCUGCUGGGACAUUACUGACGCUGAGGCGUGAAAGCGUGGGGAGCAAACAGGAUUAGAUACCCUAGUAGUCC